UGAGUAGCGAAAGAUAGGUGAGAAUCCUGUCCACCGAAUGACUAAGGUUUCCUGGGGAAGGCUCGUCCUCCCAGGGUUAGUCGGGACCUAAGCUGAGGCCGAGAGGCGUAGGCGAUGGACAACGGGUUGAUAUUCCCGUACCGGUCUGAUUUGAUUGAGCAAUGGAGGGACGCAGGAGGCUAACGAUGCGCACUAUCGGAUGUGCGUCCAAGCAGCAAGUCUGUCGGCGAGUCAAAUGCUUGCCGGCUCAAGGACAAGCUGUGACGGGUAUGAACGAUUUAUCGUUCUAAGUGAGUGACGUCACACUGCCAAGAAAAGCUUCUAGUUAGAAUCAGACCGCCCGUACCGCAAACCGACACAGGUAGUCGGGUCGAGAAGACCAAGGUGAGCUAGAGAACUCUCGUUAAGGAACUCGGCAAAAUGACCCCGUAACUUCGGGAGAAGGGGUGCUGAUCGCAAGAUCAGCCGCAGUGAAUAGGCCCAGGCGACUGUUUAUCAAAAACACAGGUUUCUGCAAAAUCGUAAGACGAAGUAUAGGGGCUGACGCCUGCCCCGUGCUGGAAGGUUAAGAGGAUGGGUUAGCGUAAGCGAAGCUCAGAAUUGAAGCCCCAGUAAACGGCGGCCGUAACAAUAACGGUCCUAAGGUAGCGAAAUUCCUUGUCGGGUAAGUUCCGACCCGCACGAAAGGCGUAACGAUCUGGGCACUGUCUCAACGAGAGACUCGGUGAAAUUAUAAUACCCGUGAAGAUGCGGGUUACCCGCGACAGGACGGAAAGACCCCAUGGAGCUUUACUGUAGCUUGAUAUUGGGUGUUUGUACAACUUGUACAGGAUAGGUAGGAGCCGUAGAAGUCGGGACGCUAGUUUCGACGGAGGCAUCGGUGGGAUACUACCCUCGUUGUAUGAACACUCUAACCCACGCCGGCAAUCACGGCGGGAGACAGUGUCAGGUGGGCAGUUUGACUGGGGCGGUCGCCUCCUAAAAGGUAACGGAGGCGCCCAAAGGUUCCCUCAGAAUGGUUGGAAAUCAUUCGCAGAGUGUAAAGGCAUAAGGGAGCUUGACUGCGAGACCUACAAGUCGAGCAGGGACGAAAGUCGGGCUUAGUGAUCCGGUGGUUCCGCAUGGAAGGGCCAUCGCUCAACGGAUAAAAGCUACCCUGGGGAUAACAGGCUUAUCUCCCCCAAGAGUCCACAUCGACGGGGAGGUUUGGCACCUCGAUGUCGGCUCAUCGCAUCCUGGGGCUGUAGUCGGUCCCAAGGGUUGGGCUGUUCGCCCAUUAAAGCGGUACGCGAGCUGGGUUCAGAACGUCGUAAGACAGUUCGGUCCCUAUCCGUCGCGGGCGCAGGAAAUUUGAGAGGAUCUGUCCUUAGUACGAGAGGACCGGGAUGGACAUACCGCUGGUGUACCAGUUGUUCUGCCAAGGGCAUCGCUGGGUAGCUAUGUAUGGAUGAGAUAAACGCUGAAAGCAUCUAAGUGCGAAACUCUCCUCGAGAUAAGAUUUCCCACUCCUUUAUGGAGUUAAGACCCCUGAGAGAUGAUCAGGUAGAUAGGAUGGAAGUGGAAGUGCGGCGACGCAUGGAGCGGACCAUUACUAAUCGGUCGAGGACUUAAUC
rnacentral:rRNA from 1 species